rnacentral:lncRNA from 10 species
GGAUUUUUUUUGAGGAUAUGGAGAUGCGCAGGACACGAUCCCAGCAAUCCAGGUGCUUACAGGCUGAUUGUACAGCCAUGCACACAGAGUGCCACGAUGCAAAAUAGGAUGUGGUAAGGGUCAUGCAGUUCAGAGGAGAAAGCAAGUGUGGCUGAUGAACAUCACGGAGCAGUGACCUUCAUGGACAGACAGAAUUUGAGCUGGCCCUUUAACCAAUGAGGAGGAUUCAAACAGAGAGGUGUUUCCAGUUCUUCUCAAGUACUUACCCUUGGGAAAUCCAAGCUAACAGAAGUCCUAGAGGUCAACUUUUCUCUCCCUGACCAUUUGUCUACUAUCCUUGUAUAAUGACCAAUCAGGUUUGUAUUAUCCUGAAAAGAAAUUCCACUAAAGAUGAAUAGCAGAGAACUGUGUUCAGAAUACAAGUUCCACAAAGGUAGAGAUCUUGUCCCUCUGGCUACCUGUUGACUCUCCUGUGCCUAAUACAGUGCCUGAUUCAUACUACUCAAUAAAUACUUAUGGAAUGAAUGAA